rnacentral:lncRNA from 1 species
UUUAAUGUGGCCAAAGCCCCAAAUAAAUAAAGUUUUCUAAAUCAUUUAAGCACAUUGAUGGACGAGGUGUUACAUCUCUAAAUUUGUCUUGAAUAAGUCUGGAUACUUUUCCCUCAACUCGCCCUCCAACUCCCACAUUGCUUUUUUCAGGGUAUGAUGCUGCCAUCAUAUCUUCACUAUGGGAAUUGUCUUGUUAUGGAAGACCUUAUCGGUCCACCCAAGAAUCUCCAUAGGGACCUCUUCAUAAGUCAUGUCAGCCUAUACCUGCACCUCAUCGCGAGGAAUAAUAUAAGAAGGAUCAGGGUGGUACCACUUCAGCAUCGAGACAUGAAAGACAUCAUGUAGAC